rnacentral:lncRNA from 1 species
AAUUGCUGGGAUUACAGGCAUGAGCCACCGUGCCCGGCCUCUUCUUUUGUUUUUAUUCUGGAGUUACUUUUAGUAUGUUACAGCUUUGUAGGGGAUUACCUAUUUCAUUUAUGUUUUCAAAUUUAUUGGCACAAAGUUGUUCAUAGUAUUGCCUUAUUAUUUCUGAUUCUGUAGAAUUGUCUUUAUAAUUUUAUAAUCAGACUAUAGUGUAAUGUGUUUAAAAAUCAAAGAAACAAUACAAUUAGCAUAAUAACAUAAACUAUGAAGAUGGAAUAUGACCAAAUACAUCUGCCUGGACACCCAGCGAAAAGACAUACCUUAAAUAUGGUGACUUGGAACAGCUGAAAAUCAAAGAAUAAGUGAAAGCAUUAGGCAAGUGCAAACAAAUUAAAGCUACUGUUGUGGCUUAAUAUUGAACACAGAUGUAUUUGGGGCAAAAGCCAUUAGGAUUAAAAACAUUUUAUAAUGCCAAAGACUAAAAUUCACAAUGAAAAUAUAAGCUAUGAAUAUCAAUGCAUUAAGUCACGUAGCAAAACUUAUAUGGAAAAAAAGAAAUUUUAUUUAAAAAAUAGAAACACAGUAGUGGUAGAAAAUGUGACUCACUUUUCUUAGUUCAUGACCCAUCAAGUGAUCAAAAAUUAGAUAAGCAUAUAGAAGAAAUAAAUAACAUAAUGUAACUUCAAUAUAUACUACAGAAUAUAUACACACAUGCACAAACACAUAUACAUAUAGAAAAUGAAAAAAACCUUUUCAGGUGCCCAUGGGAUAUGAAGAAACACUGAUUAUAUAUUAGGCAAUUAAAAAGGAGCUCACUUUCAUAGUUCUUACAAACUACAAUAGUAGUUCAAUUUCUAGUAAUGACAUGCUAGGUGUUUACAACCAAUUUUCCCCAGUGAGGGCAGCUAAAGAAAACUGGGUAAAAUACAAAGAAAGGGGCUAGGCGCAGUGGCUCAUGCCUGUAAUCCCAGCACUUUGGGAGGCCGAGGCAGGUGGAUCACCUGAGGUCAGGAGUUUGAGACCAGCCUGGCCAACAUGGUGAAACCCCAUCUCUACUAAAAAUACAAAAAUUAGCUGGGCGUAGUGGUGCAUGCCUGUGAUCCCAGCUACUCGGGAGGCUGAGGCAGGGGAAUCGCUUGAACCCAGGAGGCGGAGGUUGCAGUGAGCCAAGAUCGCACCACUGCACUCCAGCCUGGGCGACAGAGUAAGACUCUGUCUCAAAAAAAACAAAAACAAAUACAAAACAAUAACAACAAAAAUAAAUAUAAAGAAAAAAACCAACAAAACUUUCUUUAAACUCAAAGUUGUUGGUUGCUCAAAACCUUCAAAGUACUGAAAAUUCAGAUCAAAAUCCAGUAGAAGGAAAGCACCCAGCACUCAUAACCAUUUUUAUUCAAGACCAUCUGCCAAACCUGAAAAAAGAAACAGCCAAACUGAGCUGUUUGUGGUCUUGGAGGGCAAAUGUAUGAAAAGUCAAAACCCAGGCCCAGUAAGGCUGGAGGUCACCUGAAGGCGCUGAUCCGAGGCAGUGCUCACCCUGAUGGGUGUACAGCAGUAUGUCCUCAGGAAAUGUCUCGUGCCAAAUCAUUCUGAGCUGCGUGGUGACAGCAGAGUGCCAUUGACUUUGCAAGAGCUAAUACGAUUGUUAGUAGCAGCAGCAAUUAAGGGCAGAAAAACAAACCUAGCUGUACCUUGUGCAUAUAAUCAAUUUUAAAGGAGACAGUACCCCUGUAUUUAAACUCUGGCUGCCUUUUCAUUGUCCAGAUUUCUUUAAGGUUGGUCUGCCUAUGAAUAGAAUUACAGUCUAUUUUUAACUCUGUCUUGGAUUUGCUAUAUGAACAGACCCCCACCAAACUUCUCACUCCGGCCAGCAGUAUUUCCUCACCAAAAAAUAAGACAACUUUUACCAUAGACUGUGUGUACUGACAAAGGGGAAUUUGAAGCAUUAUCAAUAUAGAAAAUUACUUUUAAAUUAUUUAAGUUGUUCAGAUGAAACUGAGAGAGAAGGUGCUUGACUUAGAGAGACUGGCCAUGGGGUGGAAAGGCCAAGUUUGAAGGGAAGAAGCCAGCUCUGCUCUCUGCAUUUUGUAUUAACAUAAAAGAGGGGUGCUUCUCAGUAAGUCCGCUUCUCUGGAGAGUCCUGUUAUACGACUCUUGUUCUGUAGUGCUCAGGACAGCAUUAGCCAGCAAUGCACAGUGACUUUGUCAGGCAAGUGCUAGGAAGACCAUGCAUGCAGACGCAUGCCUAAUGUGUACCAGGAUUGCAUGUUCCCACUGAGAUUGGGGAGUGAGCUAUAAGCCCUGUUUCCUCUUUGAGCUACAGAGCUGAUGUUCAUUUGAUUGGACAGUUAAGGCAGAAAUCCAAUUACUGAGCUAAUUAGCACCUUUGAGGGGUAAGCACCAAAUUUACAGGAGGAAAGCACUGGAGAAAACUCAAAUUACCCAGUGUGGCUGACAGUCCACCCUCUUAGAGAAUGUGUGGAGAGCCAGAGGUCCUGGGGGUACACAGGCAGCUUAACUUAGUUAUUGCUCAUCAGAAUUUAGACUGUGUUCUAUAGGCUUCUGAAAAGAUAGCUUUCCAGUGAACAUAGUUUUAGAAGGUGUUUUAGUUCCCUAAGGAGUUUAGUAAAUGAUUUUCUUUUGUCUUAAUCCUCCUUUAAAAGUUGUUUAUUCUGCUGCUUGAAAAUUCCAUUUGUGGUAGGUCUUAAGGUGAAAUUAAAAUUCCAUUUAGGGACUAACUAUGCAGACGUGGGACUUCAGCCUUCAUUAAAAAGAAUUUUGUUGGUUGCUGGAUUUUCUGCUACCCUGAGAUCUUUCAUUUUUCAAAGCUGCUAUGAGAGUAUUUGUAAGGAAAACUAAAGCUGUAAUAGAACAGCAUACUUGGGUUCACAGCCUUUCUGAAAUGUAACACAGUAUUUCUUCUCUCCAAUCCAUCCGUAGCAUCACAGAACUCAACAGGAUCUUGCCUAGAUGGUUCCCAAAUGUCUAAGACAUACAUGAAAAGAAAGAAUACUUUUUUUUUCUGAAGACAAGCCUUUUCAUUUAUUCAAAUUAUAGUUCCAACCAAAUAUCUUUUUAUCUGUUUUUAUUCCCAAAAGACAAGUUCACAAAAGAAGGCUGCAUUCUUAGGUUUCUUCUUAAGCACCAUUUCUGACAAGUGCUUUUCAUUUAUUAAAUUAUACAGAAUAUGUCAAUGAUCAUGUUUAAACAUAAGCCACAUAUGCAGCAUUGACUGGCAGCUAGUCUUGUUUCUUCUUAGCAAAUAUUAUAAGGACAAGAACUUCAGAAGUAGCCUUAUCUUUGACCAUUCAAUAAUUUAUUCUGCAAAUAUUUAUUGAGUGACUACUAUGUGCCAGUUGUGAGCAACAAACUUACUCUCAUGGUACUUAGGGACUGAUGUAAGAGUCAGAUAUCAUCAGAUAAUUACACAAAGAGAUGUAUGAUGUGGUGUAAAGUAAAGGCUCCUAAGCCAGCCUCCCUAGGUCAUAUUCUGGCUGUGCCACCUGUUAGAUCUGUGACCUUGAGCACUCUAUUUAAUUUCUCUGUGCCUCUGCCUCAUCCGCCGUGAGAAUGGGUAUAAUGAGUACCUACCUCAGAGGGUAGUUUUGAGGCAAUAAUAAGCCAAUACAUAUAAAGUACUUAGAACAGGCACAUGACACAAGCAAGUGCUACAUAAAUGUUAGCUGCCAUUGUUAUGAUUGAUGUUAGCCUUGACAGGUGCUCCAAAAGAGAGGUACAGGUACAACAUGUGAAAGAGAACAUGACAAAGGAAUCUCAAGCAGCACAGGAGUCAAGGCAGCUUCCCUGAGAAGGUGAUACUUGAGCUGAGACUUGAAGGAUGAGAGGAGUCAAUGAGGAAAAAUGAGUGGGAAUGGAAAGGGAUCCCUAAGUAGAGGGAACAUUUGCAAAGGAUACUGGAGAGGAAGGAAUGACAGGACUAAGAGGUCUGGGCAUGCUGAAGGGGUGGAAAAGGAAAACCAACAGGCUUGGAGCAAAGAAAGCAAAGGGUGGAGUGAUAGAAAAGGCAGGAGCUGGCCAGGCGCUGUGACUCACACCUGUAAUCCCAGCACUUUGGGAGGCCAAGGCAGGUGGAUCAUGAGGUCGAGAGAGCGAGACCAUCCUGGUCAACAUGGUAAAACCCCGUCUCUACUAAGAAUACAAAAAUUAGCUGGGCAUGUGGCGCAUGUCUGUAAUCCCAGCUACUGGGAAGGCUGAGGCAGGACAAUCGCUUGAACCCAGGAGGCGGAGGUUGCCAUGAGCCGAGAUUGCACUGCUGCACUCCAUCCUGGUGACAGAG